AAAAAGGGUGUUUGCCGCUUCGAUGGCACGCGGCCGGCAACGGUCAGCGGGGUAUGGUUAUCAAGACAUACCCAACACAUAAUUUUUGUGAUCGCGAGGCAGUUGGCUACCCAUAUGUACCGGCGCUUCG
rfam:Papilio xuthus contig12252, whole genome shotgun sequence.